rnacentral:pre_miRNA from 1 species
UCUUCAUUCCUCGUACUCUCUCGUCGAUCAGAGUGGCGAGAGAUCAUGCGAAAUGAAGAGA